CUCGAAGGUUCCGGAUGGUCCCUCCACAAGCCCCUGGCCGACCCCAGCAGUCAGGGAAAUGGAUCGCCCGACCCCCGCCGGCAACAAUGCCUCGUUUUCCAGGCUUCCAACCGCAAGUGCCCCGGCCGACCCUGCCAACGCCACCUCGCCCGGCAGCCAGUAAUCGUUGUUUUACCUGCGGCAAUGAAGGACAUUUUGCAAAGGACUGCCCCAAGAACAAGAAUCAAC
rnacentral:lncRNA from 1 species